rnacentral:lncRNA from 1 species
AUGCAGGGGGAAGGGGGCCGCAUAGAGCCUCUGGGCAGUGUGAGUGACCCCUCUGCCUCGUCAGCCAGAAGUUGCCACUCACGAGCCUCCAGGGGAGUCAAGCAGGUGAUGUGCGUCCGUCAGCAGCUACACAGUACCUUCGCUGGAGGGCUCGCAUACCACGCCCCCCAUGGGCCACUCGCUGACCUGCAGGUGGGUGCUUGCGGGGAAGUUCCAAGAGUCAGGGUCAACUCAGCUUUGGCUAGAGAAUCAGGGUCCAAAUCAUGGGACUCAUUCAUGAAGAACCACCGAUUCUUGCUCUCGGAAGGGGCAGCAGGCAUAGGAGAUACUUAGAGUGUCAUACCCACAGCACCAAGAUUUCUUUCUUAUUUUAUUUAUUUAUUUUUUAAAGAUUUUAUUUACUUAUUUGUCACAGAGAGAGAGUAAGAGAGAGAGAGAGAGAGAGCCCAAGCAGGGAAGGGAGCAGGCAGAGGAAGAAGCAGGAUCCCCACUGAGCAGGGAGCCCGAUGCAGGGCUCAAUCCUAGGACCCUGGGAUCAUGACCUGUGCCGAAGACAG